UUCAUUUCACUGUAAAUGUUUUCCUACCUCUUUCUCUCAUUAACCUAUUCUUUCAUAUUCUAAUUUAUCUCUUUCACUACUCCAUAUCAAUUUUGACCAUCGUCCCUCGCCAAUAUACACCGCCGAUCGGAAAUUCAAGCUCCUCUUCUUAAUCACCACCAAACAAGCUGUUGAAACACUACCAAAAGAGGGAUAACCAUCUCGUCUGAGGUGGAGGAAGAAAGAAUGUCAUUAUUGGAUUCAAAACCAGCUCCAUUAAGGUGAAAAUGGUUUGGAAAAGGGAGAAAAGUCAGUAGUGGUUGCUUUGAAAUUCAUGAAAACUAGAGUGAUAUUGAAUUUCAGUCUAAAUUGGAUUUUAAUUAUAAUAAUAUUUUGUUAGUUUAUGUUUUGGAAGCUAGUGAAAGGGUUAAAUUGAU
rnacentral:lncRNA from 1 species